UACGGGGGGGGCAAGCGUUGUUCGGAAUUACUGGGCGUAAAGGGCGCGUAGGCGGCCAUCUAAGUCAGACGUGAAAUCCCCCGGCUUAACCUGGGAACUGCGUCUGAUACUGGACGGCUCGAGUUUGGGAGAGGGAUGUGGAAUUCCAGGUGUAGCGGUGAAAUGCGUAGAUAUCUGGAGGAACACCGGUGGCGAAGGCGGCAUCCUGGACCAACACUGACGCUGAGGCGCGAAAGCUAGGGGAGCAAACGGG
rnacentral:rRNA from 1 species